AACACGUGGGUAACCUGCCUGUAAGACUGGGAUAACUCCGGGAAACCGGAGCUAAUACCGGAUAGUUCCUUGAACCGCAUGGUUCAAGGAUGAAAGACGGUUUCGGCUGUCACUUACAGAUGGACCCGCGGCGCAUUAGCUAGUUGGUGGGGUAAUGGCUCACCAAGGCGACGAUGCGUAGCCGACCUGAGAGGGUGAUCGGCCACACUGGGACUGAGACACGGCCCAGACUCCUACGGGAGGCAGCAGUAGGGAAUCUUCCGCAAUGGACGAAAGUCUGACGGAGCAACGCCGCGUGAGUGAUGAAGGUUUUCGGAUCGUAAAGCUCUGUUGUUAGGGAGAACAAAGUGCGAGAGUAACUGCUCGCACCUUGACGGUACCUAACCAGAAGCCACGGCUAACUACGUGCCAGCAGCCGCGGUAAUACGUAGGUGGCAAGCGUUGUCCGGAAUUAUUGGGCGUAAAGGGCUCGCAGGCGGUUUCUUAAGUCUGAUGUGAAAGCCCCCGGCUCAACCGGGGAGGGUCAUCGGAAACUGGGAAACUUGAGUGCAGAAGAGGAGAGUGGAAUUCCACGUGUAGCGGUGAAAUGCGUAGAGAUGUGGAGGAACACCCAGUGGCGAAGGCGACUCUCUGGUCUGUAACUGACGCUGAGGAGCGAAAGCGUGGGGAGCGAACAGGAUUAGAUACCCUGGUAGUCCACGCGUAAACGAUGAGUGCUAAUGUGUAGGGGUUUCCGCCCCUUAGUGCUGCAGCUAACGCAUUAAGCACUCCGCCUGGGGAGUACGGUCGCAAGACUGAAACUCAAAGGAAUUGACGGGGGCCCGCACAAGCGGUGGAGCAUGUGGUUUAAUUCGAAGCAACGCGAAGAACCUUACCAGGUCUUGACAUCCUCUGACAACCCUAGAGAUAGGGCUUUCCCUUCGGGGACAGAGUGACAGGUGGUGCAUGGUUGUCGUCAGCUCGUGUCGUGAGAUGUUGGGUUAAGUCCCGCAACGAGCGCAACCCUUGAUCUUAGUUGCCAGCAUUUAGUUGGGCACUCUAAGGUGACUGCCGGUGACAAACCGGAGGAAGGUGGGGAUGACGUCAAAUCAUCAUGCCCCUUAUGACCUGGGCUACACACGUGCUACAAUGGACAGAACAAAGGGCUGCGAGACCGCAAGGUUUAGCCAAUCCCAUAAAUCUGUUCUCAGUUCGGAUCGCAGUCUGCAACUCGACUGCGUGAAGCUG
rnacentral:rRNA from 1 species